rnacentral:lncRNA from 1 species
ACUUACUAAGUACUUUAUAGGACAGUUUGGUAACCUCCAUUUAAAAUAUAAGCUAAAUUUACAUAAUUCAUAAUAUUACAUGAAAUGGGCUAUAAGAUGACCCUCAAUAUUAUUUGGUGUUCUGAAAUUUUUACAUAAACCACACCUGGGGGAGUGUGAAUUGAUGAGACAAACUCUGCUGUGUUAUUUUUUUCUUUUACUCCGAUAGUCAUGUCCAAGACAUGAUAGUCUGGGGGCUGCGUCUUCGCUGCCAUGGGGGUCACUUUCCUCGGAGGAGGAGACCAAAAGCUCCUCGUGGAGAACAUGGACGGGGACAUGGGUCGCUCUCACUCCGAUUCCUCUCAGAUGUGAAACAUCUGACUUGGAAGAGUAGGCUUCUCAGGAGGAUGAAAUGAAAGUGUUGUUCUGAACCUGGGGCACUUCCCCUAUCCCCCGUCCCAUCAUGGAGACAAUUCCACGGGGUUGAUCUGGAAUGCGUAUAGACGGUGGGGCGGGGCGGGGGUUGGGGGACAGUCUGAGCCUGGACUGGUCCCAGGGAAGGUGAGUUGGGUCGAGGCUGGGAGUCAAUGCUUAGCCUUGCGGCAGCUGUUCUUAGCAUCAUUUGGGAGGCCUAUCUGUAUUCAAGUCCAGUUGUACUGGGAAGAAGAUGAAGACUUUGGACGAUUCCGCAGAUCAGGUCUCUUGAGUAUCCUCAGAGGAUAAAAAGGAUGGGAGUCUUACUCUUUUCAGGGGGUAGGGUGGAGGGGAGGUUGUACAAAUCCGGAUGGAGACUCGGGCAGAUGGCUUGCCUGCUGUCCCGGUCAUGUUUAUGUUUGACAGGCUCUGCUCCGGGCACUGAGUCUAUCUGAGGACACAUGAGCUGCGCCUUGUGGCUGAUGAUACAGUUCAGACCAAAUGUCUUGACAGCAAGCUGGGGGACAUCGUAGGAGAAAGUAUAAGGCCUAUUUUUUGUCACUCUGGUGAUGAUGCUUGAGCAGUGACCAAUGUGCUUGGGUGAAGGCUGUGAGAUAAUGUUACCCUCAUCCUGUCCUUUAUCUGGUCCACAAGUUGAGGGCAAAGGGCUCAGCACAGAGUUCUGAUGUUAGGCUGUGCAAGGCAGAUGGUCCCCUUAUCAGACGUCUUUAGUGAUGUAUGACUUGUAAAGACAAGUUUCUUGAGAAAUGUUUGGACUUUGUAGACAGUGAUCAGCUGGGAAGGAUUCUGUGAGAGAAGACACCACAAAUAUAUUUUAAUUGCCUCUAAAUCAAGAGAAAAAUAGAAGUGACCAAAUAAAUAAAAAUAUUUGUGGAGUUCCCAUCAUGGCGCAGUGGUUAACAAAUCCAACUAGGAACCAUGAGGUUGUGGGUUCGAUCCCUGGCCUUGCUCAGUGGGUUAAGGAUCUGGCUUUGCUGUGAGCUGUGGUGUAGGUCACAGACGCGGCUCGGAUCCCGAGUUGCUGUGGUUCUGAUGUAGGCUGGCGGCUACAGCUCUGAUUAGACCCUUAGCCUGGGAAUCUCCAUAUGCCACAGGUGCGGCCCUAGAAAAAGGCAAAAAAAAAAAAAAAAAAAAAAAAGGAACAUAUGAAAUUAAAUUUCACUGUCAAAUAAAAAUGAUCACUUUAUAGAGGAAGAGGCACCACCUCAGUGAUGAUUGGGGAAAAAUUCAUGAUAAUGCCAAUGUUACGGUUUUCUUUUCCCCAUUAAAUUGGAAACUUAAAGUGCCUUUGGAGCAUGUCUUGUCAAAAUCGGUGGAAACAAGCUCUUUGAUAGAAUCUUUCAGGGAGUAUACAGGACUAUUGUCCAUUUAUUUAUUUUUAUAUAUUGAUUUUUCUUUUUUCCAUUGUAGCUGUUUUUUAUUGUCCUUUUAAAGGUAGUUUGUCCUCUUUGUUGCUUCUUCAGGAUCUGGGCUUUAGGGGAUCUGUGGUGGUUUGUGGGAUGACCUUGACAUCUGCUACGCUCUUGUGCCUCUGGUCAGACUCCUUCAGGCAUUGAUCAUUUGAUUUGCUGAAGUUGAAAAUGAAAGUUGAAUUUAUACAGAGAUUGAAUCAAGGUGCAGAAGGGUGUGGAGCUCACCUCCUCCCAGAGAUAACAUCACGGAUAUACCUAUAUAUGGAACAGUCUUCACAGAAUACCUAGUGAACACUCGCAGAAGGUCUCAGACACCCAAAAGUGCAAGAGAGAUCUCCACAUAACCAGACAGGAUGGGAAGAAAAAAGGGGGGGGGAGGCAUGGGACAGGAGUUGUGAAAGGAAAGAUCCCCUCACCCCAUGAAGAUCCUUCAUCAUCGGGGAGAUCAAUGGGAACAAAAAGGGGGCUUCAGAGGCUUGGAAGAGAGUGAGCAACCAGUUUGCAGCAGACAAAACAGAGACCAGCAAGAGAGGAUCUGUGCUACUUUGGUGGAGUCCCCAGCCCAAGACGUGUGCCUGCUAGUGUUUGUAGGGGCAGGGUGCUGAAAUUCGGGUAGCAGCAGACAGGAGAGAGGAGAGGUCUGGAGUUGGCUGCAUAGAGAGAGCCUGAAGGGGUUGAAGUUUUGUAUGGGCUGCAACCUGGGCCGUAGGGAGAAGCUCAGGCCCACCACAGAAUGAAGUGCUGUUGUUGAGGGGCGCAUAAAGAGAGGGGCAGGGCCACCACAGCAUCUUUACUCGGCAUGGUCCCCGUGGUGCCACCACUGAAACUCCACUGUUAGUGUGUGAGUGAAGGCCUGCCAGAGAAGCCUCUUUCUUGGUGCCACCUCUAUGAGCUCUGGGAGCAUGCAAGUGCCAGCAGGUUGCCCAUAUAUGGAGGUGGGGCUGAAACCAGAGCUGAUCCCCAGGAGCCAUGCAAUUUAGAAAGAAAAGGUGAAAUCUGAGCCCUCUCCCCAUGGCUGUGUGAUCCUAGGAUUUAUGCCACUACCACCUGCUUUAUAAACUUGGCACCUGUGGGACAUCUGAGUGGACAAUGGGAGCUCCUGAGACCGGGAUGGAUCCAGCUUUAGCAGCUGUGGGCAUGUGGAGGCUGGGCUGGGCUGGGGUCUAGGCUGCUUCUAUAGCACCCAUGGUGUGUCCAUGUGUGUGACUACUGUGGUCCUGAUAACUGACUUUAGUGGGUCAGCACUGAUAGACCUGCGUUGGUGGCUUUGUGAGCCCACACAACAGCUAACGGGUGACAGCACAGAACACACUUGCUGGUGAACAGAUCCAGCAGAGGAAGACUUAGGAGUUCCUCUCCCAGAAGGAGCACUCCAAUCCAGCCAACCUCACACCACAGCUUAGAAAUGGCUCUGGGGGCUUCUACAACAACUAGGGAGCAGGCUCUGCCCCUGACAGGGCUGCCUCAACCACAGAGCAAAGAGACCCCAGUUAACAUUCAGUGCAGGCUCUGGUCACCACAUACUCCUCAUAUUCUUCCAAAAGACUGAAGAGAAGGGAACACUCCCAAAGAUAUUCUAUGGAGCCACUAUCACCCCGAUACCAAAACCAGACAGAUACCACCAAAAAAGAAUAUUACAGGCCACUAUCUUAGAUGAAUAUAGAUGCAAAAAUUCUCAACAAAAUGUUCGCUCAUGGAAUCCAACAACACAUAAAAAAGAUCAUACACCACGACCAAGUGGGAUUCAUCCCAAGUUGACAAGGAUGGUUCUACAUAUGCAAAUCAAUCCACAUCAUACACAUUAGCAAAAGAAAAAAAUGACAUGAUCAUUUCAAUACAUGCAGAAAAAGCAGUUGACAAGAUUUAACAUCCGUUCAUGAUAAAAACUCUUACAAAAGUGGGUAUAAAGGGAGCACAUCUCAAAGCCAUUUAUGACAAAACUACAGCCAUACAAUAAUCAGUGGAGAAAAGCUGAAAGCCUUCCUGCUAAAAUCUGGAACAAGACAAGGAUGCCCACUCUCACACUUUUAUUCAACAUAGUAUUAGAAGUCCUGGCCACAGCCAUCAGACAAGAGAAAGAAAUAGAAGGUAUCCAAAUUGGAAGGGAAGAGACAAAAUCAUCACAUAUGCAGAUGACAUGAUACUAUAUAUAGAAAACCCUAAGGACUCCACAUAAAAACUGCUCAAACUGAUCAAUGAACUCAGCAGGAUACAAGAUUAAUGUUCAGAAAUCAGUUGCAUUUUUAUAGACUAACAAUGAAAUAUCAUAAAAGAAAUACAAGAAAAUAAUAUCUUUUAAAAUCUCCCAACACACACACACAACCUAGUAAUAAACCUGACCAAGGAGACGAAAAACUUACACUCUGAGAACUAUAAAACAGUAAUCAGGGAAAUUAAAGAGGAUUCAAAGAAAUGCAAAGAUAACCCAUGCUUUUGGAUUGGAAGAAUUAAUAUCAUUAAAAUGGCCAUACUGCCCAAAGUAAUCUACAGAUUUAAUGCAAUCCCUAUCAAAUUACCCAUGACAUUUUUCACUAGAAUAAUCUUAGAACUAGAAUAAUCCAAAAAUUUAUAUGGAACCAUAAAAGAUCCAGAACUGCUAAAGCAAUCCUGAAAAAAAGAACAAAGCAGGAGGCAUAAGCCUCCCAGACUUCAGACAGUACUACAAAGCUACAGUAAUCAAGACAGUAGGUACUGGCACAAAAAUAGACAUAUAAGUCAAUGAAACAGAACAGAGAGUCCAGAAAUAAAUGCAGACACCUGGGUCAAUCUUCAACAAAGGAGGCAAGAAUACAAAAUGGAAAAAAGACAGCCUCUUUAGCAAGUGGUGCUGGGAGAACUGAAGAGAUGCAUGUAAAUCAAUGAAACUAGAACACACAUAUGUGUGUGUAUGUGUAUAUAUAUAUAUAUAUAUAUAUAUGUAUAUAUAACUGAAUCACUUGGCUAUACAGGAGAAAUAAACACAACAUUGUAAACCAUAAGUCAAAAUUUAAAAAUCUAUGUUCUUGCAUAAAGUCGUUUUUAGGCUCAGAGACAAAAGUCCUUAAUAUACCUAUUUCUUCAUGUGGAGAUGAGACUGAAUACUACCGGUCCACUAAACAAUAUCCCCUCAACCUUCUGCUUUUCUCCCUCCUCUACAAUUAAUGCUUAUUUUUUUGACAUGUCAUACACUAUCUGUUUAAUUCUGCAUUUUUUA